GGUCGAAUGGCGUAGUGGUAAGUGGCCCUGACUGCUACGCCGAAGGUCCCGGGUUCGAUCCCCGGCUGGGGCA
rnacentral:tRNA from 1 species